CGGGUUGAAACCUCUUGAGCGCCGUGUCCGGUAUAUACCGGAAUAUGGUCUUUAGUGUGGUGCUCUAUUAACAAUUUAACGCGGAUACCAUGAAUUUCUUUUUAAAAAAACUGGUUUUAUAGGAAACUUUGUUAUGAUGCCAGAAUGGAGUCAGGGUUAAACACCAGAUAGUUGCAGUAAAGUCAUGGGGAGGGACAGCACUUGUUUUUGUAGAGGAAAGUCUAGCUGGUGUCAGAUUUGGAGUCCACCACCAUUUCCCAGGGGGAA